rnacentral:tRNA from 1 species
CUCCUGGAUCGUGUGGGUGAUGCUGCCGGCCAGUUGCAGACCGGCCCAGGCGAGAAGGAACAGCUUGGCCGGGUUCCGGGCCCGCCCGGUGA